CGGGUGGUAAUGCCGGAUGCUCCAUCACACCGCAUGGUGUGUUGGGAAAGCCUUUGCGGCAUGGGAUGGGGUCGCGUCCUAUCAGCUUGAUGGCGGGGUAACGGCCCACCAUGGCUUCGACGGGUAGCCGGCCUGAGAGGGCGACCGGCCACAUUGGGACUGAGAUACGGCCCAGACUCCUACGGGAGGCAGCAGUGGGGAAUAUUGCACAAUGGGCGCAAGCCUGAUGCAGCGACGCCGCGUGAGGGAUGGAGGCCUUCGGGUUGUAAACCUCUUUUGUUAGGGAGCAAGGCAUUUUGUGUUGAGUGUACCUUUCGAAUAAGCACCGGCUAACUACGUGCCAGCAGCCGCGGUAAUACGUAGGGUGCAAGCGUUAUCCGGAAUUAUUGGGCGUAAAGGGCUCGUAGGCGGUUCGUCGCGUCCGGUGUGAAAGUCCAUCGCUUAACGGUGGAUCCGCGCCGGGUACGGGCGGGCUUGAGUGCGGUAGGGGAGACUGGAAUUCCCGGUGUAACGGUGGAAUGUGUAGAUAUCGGAAAA
rnacentral:rRNA from 1 species